UUCUGCACUAAUGUAUCUCCUGGAGUUGCCAGGCUAUUUCUUUGUCAAGCGAUGCCAACAAAAGGUUACCAGUAAUACACAAAACAGUCAUGGGAACUACUGAUCCUUCAAUCUGAAGCCAUCUGCUUCCAAAUGAAAAUUACCCCCUUCUGACUGUUAUGGGAAGAUAUGAGAGAGAAGUGGAUGUUGUCUUUGCUAAGGAAGGCAGUCCUUCUACCUGAUGGAUGCUUGGGAUCACACGGUUCAAGAGCCGACUAUACUGAGCACAACCCAGAGCCCGAACAUACUGUUACGCGCCAGGAAGUAACAAGCACUCAAACAAUGAUGAGAACAACUCAGAAAACACAGGCGCCACCAUUAAGAGGCUUCCCCUGGUCAAAUGUGAAAGAACUCAAGCACCAAAAUAAAUAAUGGUAAUUAAUUACAAGCCACUGAAUAAUACAGAAAUCCAUUUUCCAAAUUUAUAUAGAGAUAAAGAUUAGGGGAGAUAAAGACAAAUACAUCUGUACAUGGGAGAAAAUGGAAAGCUCUUCCUUUUAAUAAAAUGGCAACUAAUAAAAGUAGAAGGAAUAGUAGCACUUGA